rnacentral:rRNA from 1 species
GAUGAACGCUAGCGGCAGGCCUAAUACAUGCAAGCCGGACGGCAAGUUGAGUAGCAAUACUUGACCUAGAGUGGCGUAAGGGUGCGUAACACGUAUGCAAUCUGCCCACAGCCGGGAGAUAGCCCUCCGAAAGGAGGAUUAAUAUCCCAUAGGAAGAUGAAAUGGCAUCAUUUUAUUUUUAAACUACGGGGCUGUGGAUGAGCAUGCGGUUGAUUAGCUAGUUGGCGGGGUAAAGGCCCACCAAGGCGAUGAUCAAUAGGGGACCUGAGAGGUGAUCCCCCACACUGGUACUGAGAUACGGACCAGACUCCUACGGGAGGCAGCAGUAGGGAAUAUUGGUCAAUGGAGGCAACUCUGAACCAGCCAUGCCGCGUGCAGGAAGAAGGCCUUCUGGGGUUGUAAAACUGCUUUUGCCAGGGGAUAAAAUUUCCA